UACGGGGGGGGCAAGCGUUGUUCGGAAUUAUCUGGGCGUAAAGGGCUCGUAGGCGGCCAACUAAGUCAGACGUGAAAUCCCGCGGCUCAAGCCGUGGAACUGCCUUAGAUACUGACGGCCUCGAGGGAGGUAGGGGCGAGCGGAACUCUCAGUGGAGCGGUGAAAUGCGUUGAUAUUGGGAGGAACUCCGGUGGCGAAGGCGGCCCCCUGGGCCUUACCUGACGCUGAGGAGCGAAAGCGUGGGGAGCAAACAGGA
rnacentral:rRNA from 1 species